rnacentral:lncRNA from 14 species
CCGCCUCCUCGAGAGGAGGCGACAUCACGACGGACCGGGUCACAUGGGGCGGCGCGGGCCCAAGCCGAGACCCGCCCCUCACGCCUGUUUUUCGGGGUGCGAACCCCAACCUGGGCGCUGACAUCCCCAUCUUCUGGAGCACCAGGAACAUCUGGUUGAAACAUGUCAUCAAGACUAUAUGGAGGAAGGAAGCUUGGGGGCUCACGUCUGUGAUCCCAGCAUGAGGCUAAGGCAGGAGGAUGGCCAUGAGUUUAAAGCCGGCCUGGCCUACAAAGCAAGAUAUUAUCCAAAUUCUUUAAAAAAAAAAAAAAAAAAGGAGAGAGAGAGAGAUUGUUGAAAGAUUCACAGCCAGAAAACGCCCCACCGAGGUCACAAGAGGAGCCUGUGGCUUCAAGAACCAUCAAGGUGGAACCUCUACCCUCAAGUGUCCUUUUGGUCCCAGGAGGCUUCCUUUUCUCCAGUUGGCUGUCACAGACGCCAGGGCACCUACGCAGAGACCAAGGACAACUUGCAGGAGUCGAUUCUCUCCUCCCACCACGUGGGUUCCAGAAGUUGUCGGGUCCGGCAAUAAACACGUUUACCACCGAGACAUCUCUCCAGCCCCCAGUUUUACUUUACAAAACAUGCACACACACACUUACAUAUACACACAAACACUAAAUAAAGAGCAAGUAUGACCUUGGAACCAAAGUGUGAUGUUAUGCUUUUGAGUAACUGCGUAACUGCUUC